rnacentral:rRNA from 1 species
UACGAAGGGGGCUAGCGUUGCUCGGAAUCACUGGGCGUAAAGCGCACGUAGGCGGAUCUUUAAGUCAGGGGUGAAAUCCCAAGGCUCAACCUUGGAACUGCCUUUGAUACUGGGGAUCUCGAGUCCGGAAGAGGUGAGUGGAACUGCGAGUGUAGAGGUGAAAUUCGUAGAUAUUCGCAAGAACACCAGUGGCGAAGGCGGCUCACUGGUCCGGUACUGACGCUGAGGUGCGGAAGCGUGGGGAGCAAGCAGG